CAAAUCAGGAAUUUAAUUUUGGUUCUGAUUGAACGUUGUUCAGUAGUUUUAAGACAUGCAAAUCGUUAUUACCGAUUAAUUAAAUUAGAUUAAUUCUGAAUUAAUUAUUAUUAGGGAUAAGGUGUACGGGUGAGUAAUAAUAAAUAAGAUUUCUUAUAGUCUCAGUAGAUUUGGGAUAGCUUUAUUUCUUUCUUUCUUUCUUUAAGAUAUUUAAAAGCAUUAAUAUAAAAAAACUCUUUUUAUAAUAGAACUUUUUUAGGUGAAAGAUCACUAUAAAUAUAGGACAGUAAAGCAUAAAUAUUACUAUAAUUUAUAAUAAAGGAAUUUUUCCGCUAUAGGUUUCGAUUUAUUUUGUUUAAUGGUAGUUGGCAGGGUAAAAGCCUCCCAAGCCUACGAUCAAUAGUCAUGCUUGAUAGAGCCUCUGGCCACAUUGGGUCUGGAAAACCCCAAGUAGAUAUCUACCAGCAGUCAAGAAUCUUAGUCAAUGCUCGCAAGAGUGAACUAGCUAACUGAAGUAGUCGGGAACUGAAUGGAAGUUCUUUUUUCGAUUAAGUGAUAGAAUCUAACAAUGAUAGAACUAUCUUUAAGUGUUGUCCAAGUUACUGGUGCCAGAAGACUCGGUAAGGCCAGAAACGCUAACGUUAGUCGUCAUAAACAGGCGUAAAGGGUAUGUAGGCAGCUUUGAAAGUUUAGACCUUUAACUGCUAUAUAGUAAUCUUUCUAAUAUAAUCAAAUCGCUUUUUUAGCCAUUUAUUAUAAAAAAAGAAGUUAAAAACUUAGACCCGCUCAAAGCUAGAAUCUUGAAGGAGGAUAAUACAAAUAAUACUUAGACGAGGGGUGAUAUCCUAAGACACUAGGUGGAAUACUAAAGGUGAAAGCUUUUUAUCUAACACAGAUGUGAAGCUCUGAUUCCACGGUUAGAUACCCAGAUACCUCUCACUGUCAACGAUGAAUGGUAAUUUGGAAUUUCUUUACAGAAGUGCCAGUACAGCUAACGCGUUAACCAUUCCGCCUUGCGACUACGGUUGCAAAACUGAAAGCAAAAAAAUUAGUCGGUCUCGGAGCAAACGGAGUGAAGCAUGUAGUUUAAUACGAUAACCCGCGUAAAAUCUUACCAGAUCUUGAAUAACCACACCCAUAUUAUUUUACUAAGAAAUCUAAAUUUAGUUUGUUCUUUUUGUGAAUAUAUUCAGAAAGAAAGCAGUUUGUUUUUGAUUUAAAACUGUAGUACUAAUCAUAAAUUAAAAUUCUUUUUCAAUAAGUGAUUAUUACUUAACUCUCUAGGCUUAGCCUUACGGUGAUAGUAUCAAAAAAUAUUUACGAUCGAACUUACAUCUAAAAAUAGAAAUCUUAGGGAUAAUAGAAGGACUUAAAACACCCAGGAGUGAGAUACUACUAAUAGAGUGCCUAGUUGAAUAGGGUCUCAAUAAUAAUUCAAUUAAUUUUAAUUUUUUAUUUUGGGUCAAACUAACAAUGAUAAGCCUCAUUAAGUAGGACGUUUACAGGUGUUGCAUGGCUGUCGUCAGUUCGUGUUUUGAGAAGUUAGGUUAAUUCCACUAACGGGCAAAAUCCCUAAUGUUAAUUAAUUCUUAACAUUUAUACAUACUGAUGAGGUUGUAUUUGGGGCUAAGACAAGUCGUUAUGGCCCUUAUGAUCUGGGCUACUAAACGUGCCACAAAAGCUUUUACAAAGUGACGCAAAGACCUAGCCCAAUCUUUAUUUUAUUUUAUUUAUUAAAUUUAGAUAUCUCCCUUAAAGGGUGAGGGCAUAUAAGGAAUAGCUAAUCAUUAAAGAAAGCUAGUUGGAUAUAAUAAAUUAGCGGAUUGUCUUCUGUAACUCGGAGGCAUGAAGCAGGAAUUUCGAGUAAUCGUUGAUCACUAGCGCAACGGUGAAGCUUGGAUUCGAGAUGAACUAACUGUCUGUCGCUGGGGCGGAAUUUGUAACUUUGAAGAAACAUAAACUUAUUAAUAGUACCUAUUCUAAAACUAUUUUUUAUUUUUAAUACUUAAUAGUCUAAUAAUCUUUAAUCUUUUUAUUAGUUGUUUUUGUCUUAUUUACUGAAACUUAUUACCUGACACAGUAUACAAUUAAUUUUUAACUAAUUAGAAACUGGGGAGUAAGCAAUAAGUUAAACAUCAGAAGUUAGACGAGUCUUUAAUAAUUAAUACCUAUUAGAGACAAACGUUUAGAAUAGCCAUAAUAACUGUAGUGUUUCGAUAUUUUAUGGAUGACAUCUCAAAAGUCAUAGCAAGGUAGCCGUACUGGAAAGUGCUGCUGUAAAUUAAA
rnacentral:rRNA from 1 species